GAUGAAGAACGUAGCGAAAUGCGAUACGUAGUGUGAAUUGCAGAAAUACGUGAACCAUCGAAUCUUUGAACGCACCUUGCGCUCCCUGGUAUUCCGGGGAGCACGCCCGUUUGAGUGUCAUGGUAUUCUCAACCUUCAUAACUUUUGUGACUGAAGGCUUGGAUGUGGAGGUCGUGCUGGCUCUCGCGAGUCAGCUCCUCUGAAAUGCAUUAGCGUGAACGUUUACGGAUCGCUAUCAGUGUGAUAAUUAUCUGCGCUGUUAGUGUUGAAGUAUGUCUAGUGUCGCGCUUCUAACCGUCCUUCAGUUGGACAACUUAUCUGACAUCUGGCCUCAAAUCGGGCGGGACUACCCGCUGAACUUAAGCAUAUCAAUAAGCGGAGGA
rnacentral:misc_RNA from 1 species